rnacentral:lncRNA from 1 species
GCCUGGGAGAAAAUGAAACAGAAAGUAAGUGCUGCCCAAAGGGCUCCACCCCAGCCAAACCCACAUUUGCCACUUUCAUAAGACAAAGGCCCUUGAGGGCAGUGAGCCGUAGAACCAUCCAAUAAUCAGGUCCUGCGGAAGUGGACCGGAGGUUUAAAGCUCUGUUUCUGACGCUUGUCACAUGAGCCUAAUUUGAUUUAAAUUAAUUUUAGUGAAGCAAAUCUAAAAUUUUAGUUCCUUGGUCUCCUUAGCCACAUUGCAAGUGCUCUACAACCUGGCACAGAGGUCAACGGCCCCACUACCACAGACUUCCAUGGGAUGGUGCCGCUCUGCUCUGAAGCAAGGGUCAGCAAGCUACACCCCACCAGCCAAAACCAGCUGUUGCCUCUUCUUAUACAGCCUGCGACCAAAGGAUGAUUUUUAGUGUUUGUAUGUGGUUGCAAAAAUUUUGUGGUGAAUGGUUUUCUUUCUUUGUUCUCGAAGUAACUACAAAUAUCCUUGUUUCUGCUUCAUGGUUCAUACCAUCUGAAAUAUUCUCCAGAUCUUUCUAGAAAAUGUUUGCCAACCCCUGGUCUCAAGCAGCUUCAAACUACAUUUGAGGAAACUGAGGCCUAGAGACCGAUGUGACACACACAGCUCAGAAAGGGACAGUUGUCAACUUGGGCCUUUGUUUUACCUGCUCUUUUACUCUGUCCUGACCUCUUUUCUUCUAAGGGUCUCUGUUUUAGUUCAUCCAGCAAAUAACACGAUGGCUUCCUUUUAUGGCAUUGUGAACGAGAGAGGGAGUGAUUGAUUUUUUGAAAAGACAUUGAUUGACGUUCACUUGGAGUCUCUGCAGGGAGAUCCUGCAGGAGGAUCACAGGGUCAGAGCCCAGUGUUUCCAAAGGGCAUCCAGUGUAGACUCCGGGUUCUCCUCUCAUGCAGCUGCAGAUACAGAAGCAACCAGAUGGCGUUAAAAGAUGAUCGACAUCAUUUAGUUUAAAACUCCCGCACUGCCAUCAAACCGCGCUGCCUGUGAUGAUCUAUGCAUUAAUAUUUUUUUAAAAUCCUUUAAAUCUUAUGAUUAGUGUCCUUGAUGUUUCAGUAGAUUCAUGUGGUGAGUUAAAAGCCUUAAUUUGUCAAAUAUAAACACUUUAAAUACACUGCAGUUUUAAUAACCCUGUUGGGCAUUUCCUCAUUUUAACUUUAAUUUAAAAAAAAAAACGCAGCAACAUCUCGAAAUUUGAAAGUGGCUCGAGUGACCUUGACUGUCUUAAGCGAUGGCACAUUUAAGCAGAUCCUCUGCAGAUGGUUGGGUUGCAGGAAGGAGCGGUACCACCUACAGCCCAUCCUUGUGAUUUGCAAGUUGCGUAUUUACAAAUUUGCCCUACUUUCAGAUUUCUACUUGUAACCCCAGGAUGUGGUCAUGUGGAAGAUCAAGUUGGUCAUGAAGAUCCUUUUGGCUGUGUUACAAGCGUGUGGGUUUGGAUUGGUGGGGGUGGGGGUGGGGCCGCCAUUACUCUCUACCUGGAAAUUACAGUGUGUACCAGGAAGGAAAGAAUUCGUUAAAUCCAGGGUAGAUGGAUAUGAAGGUGAAAAGAGAGCUGCUUGGCUCCUGGGAAGCUGGGCUCAUGAGCAAAUAUCUAAAGGGAAGGAGAUGUAAGGCAAUUUAUCCAUUGAUUGUUCAGGUUUCUUGCUGGGGACCAACAGGGUUUAGACCCAGCAACUGGGCGUAUGCUCAGGUUCUGAGGAUGCGUUCCUUAGGAGGUCUCUUUUUAAAAUUUCUCUUCUUCUUUAAAAGGGGGGAAGUUCCUCGAGGUUAUCGAGAGCACAGGAGCUUCCUUCUGAGCUCCGGAACAUUUGUGAGAAAUGGAACUUGCACGUGUCUAUUUGGAAGCCUUCCUGGAGCCUGCUGUAUCCUAACUCGUCAGUGUCAGCGCUGCCUUCUAACUCUGUGCUGCUUUCUGUGGCAUCUUCUGAAUUAGCAUCAGGUUUUUGUCAAACAUGGAAAUGUUCUCCUAAGGGGGAUGCCGCUUCCUAAAAUCUACAGAGUGUGUGUGCGCGCGCGCAUGUGUGUUCGCCUGAGAUUGUGGAAGGAAACCUUGUGCAAAUCCCAGACAAGCAGAGGUCACCUCUCCAGGACAGAUGGGCCUGAGCUCUGGAAAACUAGGACCCACACCAUCUGACUUGGCAAAAGCAGUAUGUGUGGUGUGAAAGCCCUGACUUCCUCUGCCCCAGCCUACCUGGGCUGGUUCCCUAUGGCAUUAGUAGGACAACCAUCUCCCAGUUGCCCACGCCCUCUUCUCUCACUGACCACAUCCAACGGGAACAUCCCAAUGUCAAGCACUCACCGUAGCCGCUGCCAAAUCCUCGAGAACAUGCCCUCACAUUUUUACUCACCCAUUUUUAAAGUCUCCAAACAUGGCUUCUUUCCCCAGUUCUCUCUCUCUUUUUCCUUUAAAAUGUUCUGGUCUCUUUCUGAUUUAAGACUCUGGAGAUUCCUUGUCACAGUCCGGACAAAGGCCAUGCAACCACCUAUGAUAAAGACUCUAGGGCCUCGUGCAUGCUGAGCACGCGUUCUGCACUUCCCCAGACCCUUGGCCCUGACAACCUCUCUCUUCUUAAUUGUUAACUUACUUAGCAAAGUUUGGUGCUUCGUCUUUUUCUGGUUCUUUUGUCUAGAAUGCUCUUCCUAAGUUCUCUGCUUGGGAAAGUCCCAUUUGGUCUUCAGAUCCGUCUCCAGGGCUUCACUUCUCUUCCAUAGAUGAGAAUAAAAUAUUUAAAGACGAGCGUGAUUGGGUUCUAAGCAAUUAGGACAGAAGCCAUGAAGGGAGUCUGGACAGCCUUGCUUCAGUGUGCUGGGUGCCCACUGUCUGGGUCUACCCCACCCAGCAGAGUGUGCAUAUCCUCCUUUGUGCCACCCAGGUCCUUGUGGAGGUGCACAGUGCCAAUCCUGUAUUCAUUCAACAAGCGUUUCAUAAUUGCCUGCUCUGUUUAGACCCUGGCUAGAUGGUGAUAAGAUGGGAAGGAAUGAGACGGUGCUUUUGGUCUGCUGUGGUCUCAUCUGACAGCAUUUAAACCGUGUGAUUAUCUUCUAUAGGAGCAUGAGGUCCUUGGAGGGUGGGGACCAACUCUUUUCUCUUAGCUUCCCAGAGAUCUGGCUGGUGCCUGGUACACAAUGUGCUCAGUCAGUGUUUGUGGAACGAGGGCCUCUGACUGGGAUCCACAGCAUCUGGACUCAUUGUUGGGGGUGUCAAGGUGUUAAAUUGAUUCAGGGGGCUGACCAGUCAUGAACCCAAGGGCUCCAACUAAUGGUAGGGGAUGAUGUUUAUUUAUAAAGGGGUAACUUCUAGAAACAGUUUAUUUGCCUCGGCUGUUUCUAAUUCAGCUUCCCCCCCCCUCUUUCUUCUUGUUCUUCUUUGAAUGGAAAAAUGUCACCCACUCACUGGUUUUAUAUAGCUCCCAUUGAAGUAGAACUCAAUGGAAAUCGUGCCUAUUAAUUAGAAACCCAGAAUGUGGGCAGCUUUUGAACUGCUAAUUAAAACACUUACCAAUCAGUUUGCAUUUGUGUUUUUUAAACCUCUUUCUUUUCCUGAACCUAGAACUUUCACCUACCAGAGAAGAUGAGUUUUAAAAAGGCAAUUGCUAAGAGUGAUUGUAUCAGGUUUUCAAAUACCUCCAGUGAAAUCUCCGGGCCGGGUGUCUUCCUAGCACUCAGAAGGUUGUUAGCGGGGGCUACAGAGGACACAAGUGGACUCCCAGGUCCCCUCCCUUAGGGCCUCUUGUGACUGCUGCCAGAGGCCCCUCCGUGGGUAGCAGGGCCACAUCCUUCCUUUUCGGGCAGCUCAAGUGGGGACUACCUCUGCAGGUCCUAGGAGCUGCAGGCUCCAAUGG